rnacentral:rRNA from 1 species
CCCUGCUUUUGUGGGGUGCUCGAGUGGCGAACGGGUGAGUAACACGUGAGUAACCUGCCCUUGACUUUGGGAUAACUUCAGGAAACUGGGGCUAAUACCGGAUAGGAGCUCCUGCUGCAUGGUGGGGGUUGGAAAGUUUCGGCGGUUGGGGAUGGACUCGCGGCUUAUCAGCUUGUUGGUGGGGUAGUGGCUUACCAAGGCUUUGACGGGUAGCCGGCCUGAGAGGGUGACCGGCCACAUUGGGACUGAGAUACGGCCCAGACUCCUACGGGAGGCAGCAGUGGGGAAUAUUGCACAAUGGGCGGAAGCCUGAUGCAGCAACGCCGCGUGCGGGAUGACGGCCUUCGGGUUGUAAACCGCUUUCGCCUGUGACGAAGCGUGAGUGACGGUAAUGGGUAAAGAAGCACCGGCUAACUACGUGCCAGCAGCCGCGGUGAUACGUAGGGUGCGAGCGUUGUCCGGAUUUAUUGGGCGUAAAGGGCUCGUAGGUGGUUGAUCGCGUCGGAAGUGUAAUCUUGGGGCUUAACCCUGAGCGUGCUUUCGAUACGGGUUGACUUGAGGAAGGUAGGGGAGAAUGGAAUUCCUGGUGGAGCGGUGGAACGCGCAGAUAUCAGGAGGAACACCAGUGGCGAAGGCGGUUCUCUGGGCCUUUCCUGACGCUGAGGAGCGAAAGCGUGGGGAGCGAACAGGCUUAGAUACCCUGGUAGUCCACGCUGUAAACGGUGGGUACUAGGUGUGGGGUCCAUUCCACGGGUUCCGUGCCGUAGCUAACGCUUUAAGUACCCCGCCUGGGGAGUACGGCCGCAAGGCUAAAACUCAAAGGAAUUGACGGGGCCCCGCACAAGCGGCGGAGCAUGCGGAUUAAUUCGAUGCAACGCGUAGAACCUUACCUGGGUUUGACAUGGAUCGGGAGCGCUCAGAGAUGGGUGUGCCUCUUUUGGGGUCGGUUCACAGGUGGUGCAUGGCUGUCGUCAGCUCGUGUCGUGAGAUGUUGGGUUAAGUCCCGCAACGAGCGCAACCCUUGUUCACUGUUGCCAGCACGUUAUGGUGGGGACUCAGUGGAGACCGCCGGGGUCAAC